UGUUUGUUCUGGAAGAGACCAGUGAAGGUACAAAGAGACAAAAUGUAAAAGGAAGGCUAAAGCCGACUGACCAGGAUGCCCCACCGUUUAGCUCCGGAGAUUGCCCCGGAAGUGAAUUCGCAAUUGAUUGACACCUAGUUUCUUCAAAUUAGAGUCUGGAAACCAUGGCAGCAGCAGGAAGUUCCGGCUGUUUUAAAGUCGCGGUUCCGGUGUUCAGGAUGCCAGGGAUGAUGGGAAGCCUGUUCUUGUUUAUCGGUUUGUACGGAACUUCACCCGCGGUAGAGUACGGCCUGAGAAUUUUGUUCCAGCACCGGUGUGAGGAAAACAUCUGAGCCCAUGAAUUGCCAGACCCUGGAUACCUGAGACACAUCCACUUGCUUCUCAGAUUGGACAUCUGUGGGCUUCCCUUUGCUAUGACGUAA
rnacentral:lncRNA from 1 species